rnacentral:rRNA from 1 species
AUUGAACGCUGGCGGCAGGCCUAACACAUGCAAGUCGAACGAGUGGCGGACGGGUGAGUAAUGUAUGGGAAACUGCCCGAUGGAGGGGGAUAACUCCUGGAAACGGUAGCUAAUACCGCAUACCAUCGGAUGUGCCCAGAUGGGAUUAGCUAGUAGGUGGGCUAACGGCGCACCUAGGCGACGAUCCCUAGCUGGUCUGAGAGGACGACCAGCCACACUGGGACUGAGACACGGGCCAGACCCCUACGGGAGGCAGCAGUGGGGAAUAUUGGACAAUGGGCGCAAGCCUGAUGCAGCCAUGCCGCGUGUAUGAAGAAGGCCUUCGGGUUGUAAAGUACUUUCGUCGGGGAGGCGUUACUCGCAGAAGAAGCACCGGCUAACUACGUGCCAGCAGCCGCGGUAAUAC